rnacentral:rRNA from 1 species
GAUGAACGCUGGCGGCGUGCCUAAUACAUGCAAGUCGAGCGAACAGACGAGGAGCUUGCUCCUCUGACGUUAGCGGCGGACGGGUGAGUAACACGUGGAUAACCUACCUAUAAGACUGGGAGAACUUCGGGAAGCCGGAGCUAAUACCGGAUAAUAUAUUGAACCGCAUGGUUCAAUAGUGAAAGACGGUUUUGCUGUCACUUAUAGAUGGAUCCGCGCCGCAUUAGCUAGUUGGUAAGGUAACGGCUUACCAAGGCGACGAUGCGUAGCCGACCUGAGGGGGUGAUCGGCCACACUGGAACUGAGACACGGUCCAGACUCCUACGGGAGGCAGCAGUAGGGAAUCUUCCGCAAUGGGCGAAAGCCUGACGGAGCAACGCCGCGUGAGUGAUGAAGGUCUUCGGAUCGUAAAACUCUGUUAUUAGGGAAGAACAAAUGUGUAAGUAACUAUGCACGUCUUGACGGUACCUAAUCAGAAAGCCACGGCUAACUACGUG